UCUUUGAAUGAACCGCCCCAAAAUAGCAUUUAUAAAGUUUAUAAAUGUGGUCAAUAAGGAAGAGACACUCAAUAUUAACACAGUUGGCUAGUUUGCACGGCUUUAGACCUAGAGACUGUGUUCUAGAAGUAAAAACUUCAGAUAUGUAAGGAAUGCAAAAUGUUUGUCUAUCAUCGCAAUUUCAUGGAAAACAAAAAUACGGGAACAUAGUAAGUGUAGAAGAGAAUUUCACAUAUGCACCGGAAGUCAGCGCCUUCAACAUAGGAGAGCGCACUGGUGGGAUAUAAUUAGGUUAUCGAAAGAUUUAUACUCGGUUGACAUAGAAUGAUCAACUCACAGACUUCUAAAUGUCUAAUAUUUGUGAAAUGUAACAGCUCUAAGGAGAUGGAGACUUGCAUUUGUAUGAUCGAUAAUUCAAUCAACGAUAAAGAAUAUGGUAUUUUAACUGCUUUACUUUGCAUCAGUUUGAUGUUACUAUUGAAGGAAGUUUGGACCAUAAUAACAAAACUCGACGAGAAAUUUGAAAUAUUGAAAACCGUUAGGAGAAACGUCUCCAAGAAACAGGAGACAUCCCAUAAAACUGUGAAAAAUAAAAUUCAUUUUUCUCAGCCUACUUCUGCAGAAAUUCAAUAUAAUGCAACAGAAAAACGACUCAUUUUCCACUUUUGUGCUGAACCCGAUAAAGAUAGAGACGCAAAAUUGGCUGCAGCGAGUAAACAUAGAGUCGGCUGCGAGAAGUCAACUGCAGCGAGUGAAGUCAGCUCCGAGAAGUCGACUGCAGCGAGUGAAGCCGGCUGCGAAAAGUCGGCGGAUUAUGAGUUGGCCAGUCCAUUGUUUUGUCAAGAAAUACAAAACGAAGCAGGAGAAAGUGCUCGUAGGAAAUGAAAAUAUUCUCCUGUGAACAUACAACUCAAAACCUGAAUGCGCGCGCAACACAGGGCGCUAACGUUGCUGAAUUUGUCACAAAUGACUGUGAGAUAAACCAUUGCCAUGUUGCUUUGACUAUUCAAAACAUAUUCUCAACCUAUUCAAAAACUCAUUUCAAUACCUCUGUAUUCAACUGUUUGUAGAAUGUUUCACCUCCACAUAAUACAAUGGCAACUACUUCACCUGUCAUUAACCGCUCUAUCAAGAAACUUAUCGUAAACUCCCAAAAAUUCUUUUAAAAUGUGUCUGUACAAAAUGUGUUCUUUUAAGCUAUUCCUUUUAUGUAUAUUCAUUGUCAUCUGUUAUCAUGUGUAGUAAUUAUUUAGCAAUAUUCCAUUACCACCUGUGUGUGGUAUUUGUGUCUCUCGGCGAGUUCGGUGCGCGAGAGCAUGUUCUGCGUAUGGUCGACUUUUGAAUUGAGGCGGGCUACUGAUUAAUGUGUUGCUAUUGCGGGGAUUUCAGCGGUCUCGUUUGUGGUCGAUGAUUCAGCAAUCUCGUUUGGAGUCGGCAUUUCGCGGAUUCUGUGGUCGUUACAGAGGCAGGCUGUCGUUUGGUGCUCUCUGGGGUGUUAUUUUUGCUUGCUGGUAUUGGCUGCAGGUUGCUCCGAUUGUCUGGUCGGGAUGUUGGGCUACAGCGUGUGUAGCUGGUCGUCGGGGGAUGCUUGCUCCUCCUUGGCACCCGAUCCCGCCUCUGGUGUGUCCAGGGGUCCUUGUUUUUCCUGCUCUUGGUUUUGUAUUCUUUGUCAGAUUUGUGAGAUUGAUCGCUGUUCGUUGUCUUCGCUUUUCAUUGCAGGAAGGCCUUGUGAGAAGACUGGUGCCCUACACUAAACAAGUUACUUUCUAUAAACAAAGUGUUACUAUUAUUACUGUUAAGCUUUGAUUCAUGUUAUUAGUAGCGAGAGUAUGUUCCAUUCCAUUUGACUGUUCUUAUUAUUUACAUUUUAAUAAUUAAAAUAAAUGACGCUUUCCUA